rnacentral:rRNA from 1 species
UGAAAAGCCCCCUCGCCGUAAGCGCAAGGUUUUCUACGCAACGUUCAUCGGCGUAGAGUGAGUCGGCCCCUAAGGCGAGGCAGAGAUGCGUAGCUGAUGGGAAACAGGUCAAUAUUCCUGUACCGAUGUGUAGUGCGAUGUGGGGACGGAGAAGGUUAGCUCAGCCAACUGUUGGAUAUGUUGGUUCAAGCCUGUAGUCGUGCCCGGUAGGCAAAUCCGCCGGGCUUAGAUGAGGGGUGAUAACGAGUCUGCUUGCAGACGAAGUGAGUGAUACCCAGCUUCCAGGAAAAGCCACUAAGCUUCAGCUACACACGACCGUACCGCAAACCGACACUGGUGCGCGAGAUGAGUAUUCUAAGGCGCUUGAGAGAACUCUGGAGAAGGAACUCGGCAAAUUGAUACCGUAACUUCGGGAGAAGGUAUGCCGCAAGUAGGUGAACCUGUACAAGGGGAGCCCAAAGCGGUUGCAAAAAAUCGGUGGCUGCGACUGUUUAAUAAAAACACAGCACUCUGCAAACACGAAAGUGGACGUAUAGGGUGUGACGCCUGCCCGGUGCUGGAAGAUUAAAUGAUGGGGUGCAAGCUCUUGAUUGAAGUCCCAGUAAACGGCGGCCGUAACUAU